UGGAGAUUGAGCUUUGGAAAAGCUGACUAAUCUGCUCAAAGCCACCUGGCCCGUGGUGAUGGAGCUGGGAUCUGAACUCUGAAUGUUUACACUUGGAGUCCAGAGCUGCCCUGUUAAGAAGCUCAACUACCCUGAGGUCACCAUGAUGUCAGGAAGCCAAACUCGAUGGAAAGGCCAUUAAGUGGGUACUGCACUUGACAGCCCAGUGUCAUUCCCAGCAAACAGUCAACACCAACAGUGGGAGAGUUGUCUUGAAUGUCUACACCAGUCUAAUCUUCAGAGGACAGCAGCUCCGUGACAUCUGACUCCAACUGCUUGAGAGAUCUUAUGCCAGAAAUACCCAGCCAAGCUCUUCCCACAUUCCUAGCCCCAAAGAAUUAUUAGCAAAAUAAAACAGUUGUUUUAAAAUGGU
rnacentral:lncRNA from 10 species